UACGAAGGGGCUAGCGUUGCUCGGAAUCACUGGGCGUAAAGCGCACGUAGGCGGACUCUUAAGUCGGUGGUGAAAUCCUGGAGCUCAACUCCAGAACUGCCUUCGAUACUGAGAGUCUCGAGUCCGGGAGAGGUGAGUGGAACUGCGAGUGUAGAGGUGAAAUUCGUAGAUAUUCGCAAGACACCAGUGGCGAAGGCGGCUCACUGGCCCGGUACUGACGCUGAGGU
rnacentral:rRNA from 1 species